rnacentral:rRNA from 1 species
GUCUAUGGCCAUACUACCCUGAACAAGCCCGAUCUUGUCUGAUCUCGGAAGCUAAGCAGGGUUGGGCCUCAUUAGUACUUGGAUGGGAGACCACCUAGGAAGACCAGGUGCUGUAGGCA